rnacentral:rRNA from 1 species
AGUGAACGCUGGCGGCGUGCCUAAUACAUGCAAGUCGAACGGAGUGGCGCACGGGUGAGUAAUGUAUAGCUAAUCUGCCCUACACUAGCGGACAACAGUUGGUAACGACUGCUAAUACUCUAUAGUGUAGGAUGAGGCGAUAUUGUAUCAGCUAGUUUGUGAGGUAGUGGCGCACCAAGGCUAUGACGCAUAACUGGUCUGAGAGGAUGAUCAGUCACACUGGAACUGAGACACGGUCGAGAAUCCUACGGGAGGGGGCAGUAGGGGAUAUUGCUCAAUGGGGGAAACGCUGAAGGAGCAACGGCGCGUGAAGGAUGACAGUUUUGGGAGCGUAAACUCCUUUUGUUAGGGAAGCGGUACCUAACGAAUAAGCACCGGCUAACUCCGUGCCAGCAGCCGCGGUAAUUC